UGGAAUGCGCGAGCAGCGCCAGACCGCAGUCUGAUGAAAUGCCACCUGGGAAACUUCAUGAAUUCGUUUCCCUACGAAACGGAGAAAACAAGCAAGGAAUGAUUAAAGUUGAGCUGAUGUCAACGUGUGCUGGGCACCCUGGGACCCAAGUCUCAAAGUGAAACAUAUCCGAGUUCAAAUAAUCCAACCAGCUUCCAGCUUGUUUCUGCAGUGGAGAAAUAGUGCAUUUUGACACCAGCUCUUCAUUUGAUAAUCACUUCCAGAAUUCCCCUUAUCAAAGACGCAGAAGGUGAGUACCAGUGACAUUUCAUCAAAGCUUUUGUAACUACCUGCUUUCCUGUUUCAUUUCUGCUGGGUCAUAAAGUGCCUGUUACUUUUCAAGCCAAUCUGACCACAAUAGGAAAAAGUUUAAACAGAAACUUGGCUUUUUAGAGAAAGCUCCAGCU